AGCCAUGCAUGUUUCCGCAAUCAGGGACGAAUAGCUCAGUAAAACUGCGAUGAUUUAGUCUGGCUGUGUAGAUAACUACGUGAAAAUGUAGCUAAGGGAAGGCAGAAUAAGACGCAGGACUAUCAGUUAGUUGGUAGUGUAAUGGACUACCAAGACAGUGACGGUUGACGGGAAAUUAGGGUUUUGUACCGGAGAGGGAGCCUGAGAGAUUGCUCCCACGUCCAAGGACGGCAGCAGGCGCGAAAAUUGCCCACUCUUUGCAGGAGGCAGUUAUGAGACGUGAAGAUGAGUAUCUUGUAAAGAGGGAUAGGAGAAUUGGAGGGCAAGUUUGGUGCCAGCAGCCGCGGUAAUACCGACUCCAAGAGUGUGUAUGAGAGAUGCUGCAGUUAAAAAGUCCGUAGUCAUAGAAGGGCAAAGAGAGAUGCGAGGUCUCACAGUGCGAUGAUGGAGGAGCCGAUGGGGAACAUAGUAUACCAGGGCG
rnacentral:rRNA from 1 species